rnacentral:rRNA from 1 species
CAGUCGCCGCGGUAACACCGAGGAUGUAAGCGUUAUCCAGAAUGAUUAGGCGUAAAGCGUCUGUAGGUGGCUUUUCAAGUCCACCGUCAAAUCCUCGGGCUCAACCCUCGAUAGGCAGUGGAAACUACCAAGAUGGAGUACGGUAGGGGCGGAGGGAAUUUCCGGUGGAGCGGUGAGAUGCGUUGAGAUCGGAAAGAACACCAAUGGUGAAAGCACUCUGCUGGGCCGACACUGACACUGAGAGACGAAAGCUAGGGGAGCAAAUGGGAUUAGAUACCCCCGUAGUCCCUGUCUCUUAUAC